AGCGAACGCUGGCGGCAGGCUUAACACAUGCAAGUCGAGCGCCCCGCAAGGGGCGCGGCAGACGGGUGAGUAACACGUGGGAACGUACCCUUUGGUUCGGAACAACCCAGGGAAACUUGGGCUAAUACCGGAUAAGUCCGCGAGGAGAAAGAUUUAUCGCCGAAGGAUCGGCCCGCGUCUGAUUAGCUAGUUGGUGUGGUAACGGCGCACCAAGGCGACGAUCAGUAGCUGGUCUGAGAGGAUGAUCAGCCACACUGGGACUGAGACACGGCCCAGACUCCUACGGGAGGCAGCAGUGGGGAAUAUUGGACAAUGGGGGCAACCCUGAUCCAGCCAUGCCGCGUGAGUGAUGAAGGCCCUAGGGUUGUAAAGCUCUUUCGGUGGGGAAGAUAAUGACGGUACCCACAGAAGAAGCCCCGGCUAACUUCGUG
rnacentral:rRNA from 1 species